rnacentral:lncRNA from 1 species
GACAAGAAGCCCUUCCUAGGAAUUCUGUUAAUCCUGUUUGCCCUAUUUCACUUUCAACAGUUAAUAGGAGGGAUACUUACGGUAGAGAUGAUUCAAAGAAUAUGUCAAAUACUCAAAGUGUAGAGGAUACAAACCCACACCAGAUGAAGGAGUAUUUGCCGAAGUAAGUGGAACAGAAAGCACUGAAAAAAAUGGGGAAGAGGAAAAUGCGAAGACCAAUGUCCUUUCACAGUUUACUGAAACAGAAGAAGUCCAGGCUAAAAGAGUAAGAUUACACUCUCCAGAGACAAGCCAAAAGGCAGCCUCUUAUUCCAGUAGCAUCAAAACCAGGCUUUCAUCCACAUCACAAUCCAGUCAGGCAUCAGAACAGCAAACACCCAAGAAAUCAGUCUUGGAUGACAAGCUUAAAGGAAACCUUGGAAAAGCAAAUUUUCCAGAAGGCAGGAGGAGCCUGAAGGGUAGGUGUGAAAUUAUGGAGGAUGUUUGAUACCAGUGGAUACCGAUAGAUGAAAAUAUCUGAGAAGACAGCCUGUCUGAUGAGAAGAGGAAAUGUUUGGGAUGCACCAAGUAGUUGUUUGUAUGAAUAAUUAAAAAAACAUGUGUAAGAGUUGCAACAUACUUAUUUAAAACCUUACUCAUGCUUUGUUUUUUGGACAAAUUACAGAUUUUCAAGAAAUCUGAGAAAGAAUACAGUAAACUUUUUAAAACAUCUGAUAGCACAGUAUUAUAACAGCAGGAACAUGAGUUUAAAAAAAAAAAAGCUAACAGGCAUGGCAGAGCUUUUGAAGAUUUAUACACCCUGCCUUUUUGGUAGCAGUCUGUGGGAAGGGGUUGUCCUUACACUAUAUACAGAAUCAGUUCUUUUUUAAUCCUGUAUUUUUUUCUUUAUAUCUUCUACAAUUUGGUAUGUCUAUUAACUGAGGCCUUAAAAUUAGGACCUCUCUGAUGAUCACAUGAUAAAAUCUGAAGUAGAUGUUUUUUGCUUUGUGGACCACUAAGAGAAGAAUUAAAUCAAGUUUAUUUACAGUUAUGAGUCCAAUCCUGCACAGGUCUUAUCAAAAGACAGUUCAACUGUGUCACUAGACAUUAAUCAAAGAUCUGUAAUCAGGACUUUUUCACGUUACAGCUGUAAAAAUAUCUUAUGUAGAAACCUAUCUCUUCCCUGAUACAGAAUUAGGAACGGAAAAGAGGUGCUGGUCAAGUCUUCACUUUUAUGUAGUUCCUUAAAUACCUAUACAUGUGUACUUUAUAUAUUUAGCAGUCAUGUCUGGUAACUUGAAAGCAGUCCAUGGAGAAAUAUAACAUACUCCCUAUUUCUAUAGACUAUAAAACUUAAGCCUUUUUACCUUUUUUGUUGAUCCCUAAUCCAUUGUACCAUUGUUAAAUCAUCUAGAUUUGAACUGUAAAAAAUUCUUUUGCACAGGAUCUAUUUGUUAUCUGAGCUGUUACACAGUACCUUUAACCUUUUGAUGCAGUCAGUUAAUAUU